rnacentral:misc_RNA from 1 species
GUUUGAGGCGGACUGGAAUUUAAUUAAAUUAAAUCAAGUACGAAUGUGUGCGUGCGUGUGUGUGUGUGUAUGUGUCUAAGCUGCGUUCUUGAGUUGUUCUUGUUCUAAGUUCUUUUUUUCGUGGCGUGUAUCUGUGUGCGCGUGUCGUGUGCUGGUGUGCGUGUGCUUUUUGUGAACUACGUUUUGUUUCAAUGCCAAAAAAAAGUAUCUAUGCCGUGGCAUGUGCUCUCUCUCCAUCUCUCUCUUUCGCUCGCUCAUGCUGGUUACAUAAAUACUGGUAGAAGAAGAGGAAGAGAAGGAGGAGCAGGCGGAGGCAACAGAAAUUGAAAUACAAAUUCAAUUAACACCUGAAAACGAAAAGCCAACUGGAACGCAAACGUCUGAUUGGAUAAGGAAAAUAGAAAACGGACAAACAUGUGUUUGAAUUUCCAACCUAUCUGCUUCUUACCAUUCCUAUGAAAUGUUCAAAAGCAAAGCUCCUUGAAAGAGGAGGGAAUAAAAGAAUGUGGAAAAGAGCAGCAGAACCAGAACGAGAACACAAAAAAAAACGAAAUUAACGACGUCACAUAAAAGUGUGUCAAAGCAGCAGCUCACGCACACCAGCGUGCUGCCAAUUUGUAUCUGUGUGAAGCUUUAGCGCUCUCUCCCUCUCUCGCACCGCCCCUCUCAUGCUCAUUCGCUGAUAAAACGCAACGCACACAGCGCGUAUACAUAAUUUAUAUAUUUAUUUAAAUGUUUUUCGUUUGCUCGCUUCGAACAACGAGUUUUUCUCGUUAUUCUAAGACUGCCCCCUUUUAUUUCUCGCUCCAUCUAACAAUUUGAGCUCUUUUCAUACGAACAUACGGACAGCAUUGCUCAAUUAUUAUGUCAUAAAAACAUUUUGAAUGGCAAACGUGCGAUAGAAGUUCAAUUCGUUCAAGGCGAGAUAUAGUAUUAUUUUUCAAGCUUUGGGUUUUUGGCGCAGGAGGAAAUUCAAAAGUUGUCGCUGCUGCUGCUGCUUUCUUGCGUGUGUUUGUGUGUAGGAACGUGCAGCAAUUUUCCAACGUUUGCAUGAAAAACCUAGUGCCCUAAUAAGCAAAACGCGAGAGAGAGGAAAGCCCAGUGCGAAGAGAGCGCGAGAGCGUAGCAGAAGCUGAAGCAGUUUUCCCGCAUUCGAAUUUAAAAAUCAAUGUAGAAAAUGCAAAGCGGACAAAGAAAACACGCACGCACACACACAUGCACACAGAGAUUCCCGAGUCCGAAUGUUAGAUAGAAAUGUGAUCGGACGGGCACGUGUACGUGUCACACAGAUACAAAAGAGCGCCAGAGAGCGAGAGAGAGCGCAGCGAGAGAGUGGAAAAAUGUUUAAUUUUCAGCUGCUCGCAGCAAAAGCAAACGCAAACUUGUCGUUAGAAUCAAAAAAAGCACGCUGAGACAAAGACGCGCACGAAAACUGAACGGAAAAACGGAAAAGGCAAAGGCGGAUGAAGCAGCGCAAAAGGGGAAGCCAAAGCAGGCGCUAAAUAUUUUCAAAAUAUAUAUUUAAAAACUUUGCGCUUCGCUUCGGUAAUAUUUGUAUGCAAAUCUAAUCAGAGUGUGCCUGUGUGUGUAAUUGUUAUAAAUCAAAACGAGAGCAACAACAGCAACAACAAUAGCAGCUUAGCCCGAAAAGUAAAAAACCACAUUAAAGUAACAGAAUUAAUUCAGGAUCCACUACAACAGCAAAAACCACUGUCGCGUCUCCAAAUGAAACAAUAAUUGAAUAAUUGAAUUACGCAAAUAACUAAGAAAAAAAUCAAAGGAAAAGCGAAUAACGAGUAAAAAGUAAAAGUAAAAAAGUUUAAAACAAAUUCGUAAAGCCGUGUACUGAGUAAGCCAGUCAGCGCUUAAAGUACCAUAUAUAGUUGUUCUUAUCUAUACCCACACUCAAUUAAUUGCAGCUGAAUGCACGACUCCUUGCAGAAAGGGGGCCCGCUUUCAAAACUUUCUGUGGAUUCCUGUAAUUCAUCCUGUCGUCUGCUUUCCAUCAUGCCACAUGUUCCACGCUCACAAGCUUGCUUCAAACAGAUCUAUCCCUAUCCCUCAUCUGCCUGCCCCCAAAAAGUUUUGAUAUGUGAAUGCCUAACACAAUCCACGCUUUAGAAAGAACCGCCCCCGGUCCAUCCCGAAAAUCCCGCCCCCUUUUUUCCCAUUCUUGCAAGACGCCUUGCUCGUUUUUGUAAAUAGCUUAUUUUGAAGACGAAAGAUCCAGACAAAUCAAAUCAAUCCAACUUAAAUGUUUGUGCCUAUCUAAAUGUUG